AAGACUAUACUUUCAGGGAUCAUUUCUAUAGUUUGUUACUAGAGAAGUUUCUCUGAAUGUGUAGAGCACUGGAAACCACGAGGAGGUGGUGCAGCAUUGUCUCCUGAGCAUGAAGCCCGCUUUUGGUUUUGCUUCUCUGCUAUUGCCAUUUGCCAUUGAUGAUUGUUCUCUCUUUUUGUGGGGAGUAAGAGGAGAGGACACAGUCUGAGUGGUA
ensembl:snoRNA